ACGGCUCAGUAACACGUGGAUAACAUGCCCUAAGGUGGGGGAUAAUCUCGGGAAACUGAGGAUAAUACCCCAUAGAUCAUAGAUGCUGGAAUGCUCUUUGGUCCAAAACUCCGGUGCCUUAGGAUUGGUCUGCGGUCUAUCAGGCUGUAGUGGGUGUAAUGGACCCACUAGCCCGUGACGGAUAUGGGCCUUGAGAGAGGGUGCCCAGAGAUGGACUCUGAGACAUGAGUCCAGGCCCUACGGGGCGCAGCAGUCGCGAAAACUUCGCAAUGGGGGAAACCCCGACGAGGGAAUUCCAAGUGCCAGCACUUUGUGUUGGCUGUUCUUCUGUCUAAAAAACAGGAGAAGUAAGGGGCGGGUAAGACGGGUGCCAGCCGCCGCGGUAAUACCCGCGCCCCAAGUGGUGGUCGAUAUUAUUGAGCCUAAAACGUCCGUAGCCGGUCUUCUAAAUCCUUGGGUAAAUCGGGCAGCUUAACUGUCCGAAUUCCGGGGAGACUGGGAGACUUGGGACCGGGAGAGGUCAGAGGUACUUCUGGGGUAGGGGUAAAAUCCUGUAAUCCUGGAAGGACCACCGGUGGCGAAGGCGUCUGACUAGAACGGAUCCGACGGUGAGGGACGAAGCCCUGGGGCGCAAACGGGAUUAGAUACCCCGGUAGUCCAGGGUGUAAACGCUGCGGGCUUGGUGUUGGGGGUCCUUAGUGGGCGCCCAGUGCCGGAGAGAAGUUGUUAAGCCUGCUGCUUGGGGAGUAUGUCCGCAAGGAUGAAACUUAAAGGAAUUGGCGGGGGAGCAC
rnacentral:rRNA from 1 species